GAUCAAGUAUGACAAGGGCAUCUGGUGGAUGCCUUGGCGUCGAGAGGCGAUGAAGGACGUGGCACCCUGCGAAAAGUUCCGGGGAGGCGGGAGCAGCCUUUGAUCCGGAAAUGUCCGAAUGGGGAAACCCACCCUUCGGGGUAUCCCAGCCUGAAUCCAUAGGGCUGGGAGGCGAACGCGGUGAACUGAAACAUCUCAGUAGCCGCAGGAAAGGACAUCAACCGAGACUCCGCAAGUAGUGGCGAGCGAACGCGGAUCAGCCCAGUGGCACGAUCAGGACAACGGGAACGGACUGGAAAGUCCGGCCAGAGCGGGUGACAGCCCCGUACCGGUAAUGCCUGUUUGUGUCCUCGAGUAGGGCGGGGCCCGUGAAACCCUGUCCGAACAUGGGGGGACCACCCUCCAAGGCUAAGUACUCCUCGACGACCGAUAGUGCACCAGUACCGUGAGGGAAAGGUGAAAAGCACCCCGAUGAGGGGAGUGAAAGAGACCCUGAAACCGGAUGCCUACAAGCUGUAGGAGGGGCUUCGGCCCUGACUGCGUACCUUUUGUAUAAUGGGUCAGCGAGUUGAUCUGUCGAGCAAGCUUAAGCCGGUAGGCGUAGGCGCAGCGAAAGCGAGUCUGAAGAGGGCGCUUGAGUUCGACGGAUCAGACCCGAAACCGGGUGAUCUAGCCAUGGGCAGGUUGAAGGUGGAGUAACACCCACUGGAGGACCGAACCCACGUCUGUUGAAAAAGACGGGGAUGACCUGUGGCUAGGGGUGAAAGGCCAAUCAAACUCGGAAAUAGCUGGUUCUCCGCGAAAUCUAUUUAGGUAGAGCGUCGUGUCUCACCUUCGGGGGUAGAGCACUGGAUGGGCUAGGGGGCCGCGAGGCUUACCAAACCUAACCAAACUCCGAAUACCGAAGAGUGCAAUCACGGCAGACAGACCCGGGGUGCUAAGGUCCCGGGUCGAGAGGGAAACAGCCCAGACCGCCAGCUAAGGUCCCCAAGUCAUGGCUAAGUGGGAAAGGAUGUGGGACGGCCAAAACAACCAGGAGGUUGGCUUAGAAGCAGCCAUCCUUUAAAGAAAGCGUAACAGCUCACUGGUCUAAUAGCUGUCCUGCGCCGAAGAUGUACCGGGGCUCAAGCCAUGCACCGAAGCUGCGGGCUCGCAAGAGCGGUAGCGGAGCGUUCCGUAGGCCGAUGAAGGUGUGUCGCGAGGCAUGCUGGAGGUAUCGGAAGUGAGAAUGCUGACAUGAGUAGCGACAAGGAGAGUGAGAACCUCUCCCGCCGAAAGUCCAAGGGUUCCCGCGCAAGGCCAAUCCGCGCGGGGUGAGCCGGCCCCUAAGCCGAGGGCGACAGCCGUAGGCGAUGGGAACCAGGUGAAUAGUCCUGGGCCCGCGAGAGGUGACGUUCCCCGUAAGUUGUCCAUCCUUAAUGGAUUGGGUGGGCAGCGAAGGGGGGCCAGGAAAUAACCCUCGCAUAUGGACCGUACCCGAAACCGACACAGGUGGACUGGUAGAGCAUACCCAGGCGUUUGAGAGAAUGGUGUUGAAGGAACUCGGCAAAUUGCCCCCGUAACUUCGGGAGAAGGGGGCCCUCGCAUCGGGCAACCGGUGCGGGGGGGCACAGACCAGGGGGUGGCGACUGUUUACUAAAAACACAGGGCUCUGCGAAGUCGCAAGACGACGUAUAGGGUCUGACGCCUGCCCGGUGCCGGAAGGUUAAGAGGAGAGGUGAGAGCCUUGAAUCGAAGCCCCGGUAAACGGCGGCCGUAACUAUAACGGUCCUAAGGUAGCGAAAUUCCUUGUCGGGUAAGUUCCGACCUGCACGAAUGGCGUAACGACUUCCCCGCUGUCUCCAACACCAACUCAGCGAAAUUGAAUUCUCCGUGAAGAUGCGGAGUUCCCGUGGUCAGACGGAAAGACCCCGUGAACCUUUACUACAACUUCGCAGUGGCAUUAGGGAUGGGAUGUGUAGGAUAGGUGGGAGGCUUUGAAGCAUGGGCGCCAGCCUGUGUGGAGCCACCCUUGAAAUACCACCCUUCUUGUUCCUGAUGUCUAACCGCGGCCCGUGAUCCGGGUCCGGGACCCUGCGUGGUGGGUAGUUUGACUGGGGCGGUCGCCUCCCAAAGUGUAACGGAGGCGCGCGAUGGUGGGCUCAGGCCGGUCGGAAAUCGGCUGAUGAGUGCAAUGGCAAAAGCCCGCCUGACUGUGAGGCCGACAGGCCGAACAGAGACGAAAGUCGGUCAUAGUGAUCCGGUGGUCCCGCGUGGAAGGGCCAUCGCUCAACGGAUAAAAGGUACUCCGGGGAUAACAGGCUGAUACUGCCCAAGAGUCCACAUCGACGGCAGUGUUUGGCACCUCGAUGUCGGCUCAUCACAUCCUGGGGCUGGAGCAGGUCCCAAGGGUUCGGCUGUUCGCCGAUUAAAGUGGUACGUGAGCUGGGUUUAGAACGUCGUGAGACAGUUCGGUCCCUAUCUGCCAUGGGUGUAGGAUACUUGAGAGGCGUUGCCCCUAGUACGAGAGGACCGGGGUGAACGGACCUCUGGUGUACCAGUUGUCACGCCAGUGGCACCGCUGGGUAGCUAAGUCCGGACGGGAUAACCGCUGAAAGCAUCUAAGCGGGAAGCCCCCCUCAAAACCAGGUAUCCCCAUCAGAGCCGUGGAAGACCACCACGUCGAUAGGCCGGAUGUGGACGCGUGGCAACACGUGAAGCUAACCGGUACUAAUCGCUCGAUCGGCUUGAUCCC
rnacentral:rRNA from 1 species